UUCAUUCAUUCAGCAAAUGUUUGUUUGACAAAUAUUUACCAUGCUAGGAAUUAGGAAUAACUGGCAUGGGUUCUGCCCUGAUUGUUUUUCCAGUCUAGUGGUGAGAAAUAGCAAUCAAGUAAGCAAAUGAAUAAAGAGAUAAUUGUCAAACUGAGGUCCAAGCCAUGGAGGAAAUGAGGAGCCUCAUGACUGGGGAGAGACACGCAGUUAAGAGAGAGUCAUGCUAUUGAAGAGGUAACAGUGAAUGAAGCAAAACAAGGCAUAGAACGGGGCAAAGAGUGGGAACAAAGAUGCGGGGACUCUGGAGACCUAGGAGGGAGUCUAUGUUUCCAUCUGGAAGUGGAGGUAGGAAGCUGCAGGCCGAGGAAGUCAAGGACCACCGGAGCACUCCAGGCAGGUUUCCCAUCCCAGCACCAUUCCUGUCAGUCUCCAUGACGAGCAAGAAGGUGACUUUGGCAUUGUUGCUGGCUGGCCAAAGAGAUGCUCCCAAUUCUGCUGGAAGCAAGCAAUGGGUUUCCAUCUGAUUCUUUCCCUUUAACUUGAAGGGAGGGCAGAUAAAGCUCCUCAGAUACUUCUUGACUAUUUGGCCAGCUGCUGGGGACCCCAGAUUUUGAAUUGGUGUCAAGAAGCAGGAAUGGGAAAUUUGGGGCUACCAAUGAGGCAGGCCCAGGAGGAGGGGUGAAAGGAGGAGCACAUGGGGAGAAGAAGCCCUAGAGACCAAUUGUUCUG
rnacentral:lncRNA from 1 species